UUAUUUACAUUCAUAUUGUCAUGAUUAAUACGGAUGCAUUAUCAUCAUGACCCGUGCACCCCACUUCAUACUAUGACUUGAAUUAUUUCACUUUCAUGUUAAAUUUAAUGAUAAUUCAACUUGAACAAAAUUUUGACCGAGUCAUGGUGCCACUAAAUCAAGCUCAUCAAUGCAACCACACAUGCCUGGAUGGGAGGCGCUAAUAUGGUCUAUUGUCAUCCCUCUUGCCGGUGCCUCCAACUAGGGAAGGUUGUGCGCUUGUGCUACCCUGGCCCGGUGGAUAGGCAUAACCUUGUGUGCCCAUAUCUGUAUGAUACAAAUGUCCCCGUUGGGACGAGUUUGUUUGGCCACGACUGUGGGAGAUACAAAGGUGGAGGAUGUCACGUGUUUACAUUGGGGACUCCCAUGGCAUAGCCCAAAGGGGAGUUUGUGAGAGCGACCAGGAGAGUGUCAUGAAAUAGAUUGGUUUUAUCGAAAUGUCAUUGGUCCACCCUAAGGGUAACACGAGGCCAUGAGUUGUGGGUACAAUGUACUAACCUAUGUAGAGUGUAUAGUGUGUAUUUAGCUGCAUCCUCGGAUAUGGACACGAUUUGUGGUAGGUCACACUAUGGGUCAACAGUAAUAAAUAACCGACACAUUUAAUAACUAUGAUAUGACACUUGGUGAUCUGUUGAGGAUCACGAUGGUAAGUUGUUAAUGGUGGUUACGGGGUAACCCCGAGAUGGUAAGUUGGUUCGGGGGACCGUGACCAUAUCCACAUGCAAAUCAUGUAUAAGAAUAUCAUGUUCAUGAUCAUGCAAUAACCCCUAAAUGCCUUGCUACUGUUUGUCAUAAUUGCUUUCUUUGCCGUGAGCUUGCGAGUACAUUCAAUGUACUCAGCUCGCUUAUCAUGCCAGAUGGAGGAGAAGUCGUGCAAGGCGUUGAUGUCUAUCGGUUUGAUGCUACCUAGGAUCGUGUACGACCAGUGUCCUUGUGGAGUGGAGUCCCACUACUUCGUUGUUCCGCUGCUACAUAAUUUCUUUCCUUAUCAUAGAGCCCCCUGAGUUUUCUACUAAAUAAUGUACAUAGGUGAAGCCGCACCAGAUGUGCCGCUUGGCCUCGCUUAUUAUGUACUAUUCAAAUCUUUGUAUUUGCAGGAGAUUGAUAAAGUGGCUGUUUUCUGUACGAAGUUGUUGUUUGUUGCCAAAAGACUUGAUCUCUCGACUGGCAAUGCAAGGUAAACUGCUUGCUCUGAGUCGGGCUGCCACAACGCUUGUUAUCAGAGCAACACUCACUAUAGGACACGCUAGAUACAUGACGCGUUAGAAAUAGGUAGUUAAUACAUGUGGUGAUGCCUCUGCAUUUGGUUGUGCACUGCAUGCAUAUUAGUUGUUUUAUGGCUAACCAACUAACAUGGUGAGGGUAGUGGCACCAAUUCCAUACCCAUAUCAGCCGAAGCCGGCACCUGUUAUUUUCCCGCACCUAGUGUGCAAUGUGCGGUGCCGACUCUACCCCAGCGGUGAUGACGCCGUGUUCCAAGAGUACCGAGAGCGGCUUUCAGACAGUGUGUACGAGUAUCACGCCGAGGUUGUUAUGCACAACAACACCUUGGCGGGAACUUAUACUUGCUCAGCCAAGGGCAGGACAACUUCUACACCUGACCACGCAAUCCAGUUUUCUACAUUCAAGGCACUCACUGACUUGCGCUACAACAAGAUUCAGAUGCACACUCACACAAGUUUUUUCUUCUACCCGUCCCUGUUCGACACAUGACAAGUCUGCUUUCCUGUCAUUUAUCCGGAGUGUGAUUGUUCAGAUGGACAUAACAAAUCGAUAUCUCCUAAUCCACAGCCUAACCAUGGAGCUGAGCCGCACACGGGAAUUACUUCGUGCCGCUCGAUCGGCAUUUGCUCCACCUCUUCUUCCAUAUGCAACACUCGCUCUAGUCUCCAUCCCUACACCUAUUACACCUGCAUCCACCAAGUGUAACUCUGAUACCUUGAAUGUAACUUGAUACGUCUCCAACAUAUCUAUAAUAUUUUAUUGUUUCAUGCUAUUAUAUUAUAAUUCAAUAUACUUUUUGGGUGCUUAUUUACUAAUUAAUAUUAUUCUUGAGCACAAACCUAGUAACCCAGUGGCGGUUCCACUUGUUCUUUUCUGCAUAUUUUUGACAGCCCUGUUGUGUGGUGGCUCCCCCUAGCGCUUCCUGUCGUCCCUCUUCGCUCUAUAAAUCAUCCAAAAUCCCCCAAACCCUAGAGAUCUUGUCGAAACACUUUUCCGCCACCGCAAGUCUCUAUUCUGCCGUGUGCCCAUAUGGAGCCCUUUUUUGGUGCCCUGCCGGAGGGGGGAUCAAGAAUGGAGAGCAUCUACAUCAUCCUUGUUGCUCUCAUGCUGGUGUGUGAGUAGUUCACGGAUAACCCACAAGUGUAGGGGGUCAUUUGUAGCCUUUUUCAAUAAUUAAGAGUGUCAGACCCAACGAGGAGCUAAAGGUACAAUUAAUAUUCUCUCAAGUUCUAUCGACCACCGAUACAACUCUACGCAUGCUAAUGCUUGCUUUACCUUGAACAAGAAUAAACUACUUUGUAGGAAUAAAACUAGAAGUACUUUGUAGGUGUAAAAAGAUGAGUUUGCAAGAUAAUAAAGAACAUGGAAAUAAAAGUUAGGUGUUGUUUUAAUAAAAUAACAAUAAAUUAAAUAUAGAGAGUGUGGAAAAGUGGUGGUAGGAAUUGCAAUAUUGUCCUAGGCAAUUGAUAAUAACAUCGGUAAUCAUUAGUGCAGUUUUAUACAAGGGAGAGGCAUGAGCUAACAUACUUUCCAUACUUGGAUCAUAUGAACUUAUGAUCAGACCUCUAGGAAGCAUACACAACUACUAUAAACCAUUAAGGUAAAACCAACCAUAGCAUUAAACAUCUAGUCCCCUUUACUCCCAUAGGCAACAAUACCCUUACUCGGGUUUGUGUUUCAGUCACUCACCAACCCACUAUAAGCGAAUCAUGAAAGUAUUGCAACACCCUACAACUGGAAUCCUCCACGUGUAGCACGGCACGGAAGGCACCAUAGGACAUCACCAAAAUAAACCACACAACUCAAACCAUUCAAGAUCAUCAAUCAACCCAUAUGACAAAAGGAAUCUACUCAAACAUCAUCGGAUAGCAACACAUCAUUGGAUAAUAAUAUGAAGCAUAAUGUACCAUGUUCAAGUAGGGGGUACAGCAGGAAGUGUGAGAGUGGACUAUAGUAACUAUAUGAGGGAAGGUUAUGGUGGUGAUGGCGGCGAAGUUCUUGGUUGGUACUUCUCCAUCGUAUUUAUAUUUUUUUAUUGUUCCAUGCGAAUAUUAUACAACUUUCACAUAUUUUUGGCAACAUUCUCUAUGAUUUAUUGGACUAACAUAUUGACCCAGUGCCAGGUGCCAGUUCUGAUUUGGUGCAUGUUUUUUGUUUUGCAGAAUAUCCAUAUCAAACAAAGUCCAAAUGCGUUAAAAAUUUACUAAAAAAUAUUUUGGAUUAUAUGUGAUUGUUGGGAGGUGGAAUCAACGUAAACGGAUGCCCACGGCCUCCACUACCUACCAGGGCGGGAUCCAUACCCCCUGGCGCGCCCUGUGCUCUAGUGGCCACACCGUGAGUCAGUCGGGGCUAUUCUUCGGGCACAAGAAAUAUAAUUUAUGGAAUACAAUCAUGUAAAAAUUUCAGCCCGAUCAGAGUUACAGAUCUUCGAGAAUUGAAGAAACGGUGAAUGUCCAGAAAACAGGAACGCGAAACAAAAGCGAAUAGAGAGGGAUAUCCAAUCUCGGAGGGGCACAUGCACCUCCUCCGCCAUGGAGGCCAUGGACCAGAGGGGGAACUCUCCUCCCAUCUAGGUGGGCUAGGAAGAAGAAGAAGGAGGGGAGCUCUCUCCCUCACUCUCUCUCGGUGCUACCGGAGUGCCGCCGGGGCAAGGAGCAUGAUGGCAAUCUAGAUCAACAAUCUUUCCGCCGUCAAUACCAACACUCUCCCCCUCUAUGCAGCGGUGUAACACCUCUUUUCCCGCUGUAACUCUCUACUUAAACAUGGUGCUCAACACUACAUACUAUUUCCCAAUGAUAUGUGGCUAUCCAAUGAUGUUUGAGUAGACCCGUUUUGUCCUACGGGUUAAUUGUGAUAUGAUGUUAUUGAUAUGAGUUGUGUGUUGAUAUGGUGCUGUCCUAAGGUGCCUUCGGUGAGGCGCACACAUGAACAAUACAUGCUGGAGGGUUUGCAAUAUGUUCAUGAUUCGCUUAUAGUGGGUGGCGAGAGUGAUAGAAACUAACACCCGAGUAAGGGAGUUGUGCGUGUAUGGGAGUAAAGAGGACUGGAUGUUUAAUGUUAUGGUUGGUUUUACCUUAAUGAUUUCUAGUAGUUGUGGAUGCUUGAUAGAGGUCCAAUCAUAAGUGCAUAUGAUCCAAGUACGGAAAGUGUGUUAGUGUAUGCCUCUCCCUCAUUGCCCAUCAUAAGUAUCUAUCAUGUUAUAUUCAA
rnacentral:lncRNA from 1 species